rnacentral:rRNA from 1 species
CAUUUGAGUGAGUGGCGAACUGGUGAGUAACACGUGGGAAACCUGCCCAGAAGCGGGGGAUAACACCUGGAAACAGAUGCUAAUACCGCAUAACAACUUGGACCGCAUGGUCCGAGCUUGAAAGAUGGCUUCGGCUAUCACUUUUGGAUGGUCCCGCGGCGUAUUAGCUAGAUGGUGGGGUAACGGCUCACCAUGGCAAUGAUACGUAGCCGACCUGAGAGGGUAAUCGGCCACAUUGGGACUGAGACACGGCCCAAACUCCUACGGGAGGCAGCAGUAGGGAAUCUUCCACAAUGGACGAAAGUCUGAUGGAGCAACGCCGCGUGAGUGAAGAAGGGUUUCGGCUCGUAAAACUCUGUUGUUAAAGAAGAACAUAUCUGAGAGUAACUGUUCAGGUAUUGACGGUAUUUAACCAGAAAGCCACGGCUAACUACGUGCCAGCAGCCGCGGUAAUACGUAGGUGGCAAGCGUUGUCCGGAUUUAUUGGGCGUAAAGCGAGCGCAGGCGG